GACAACGGCAUGGACGGAAGAUCAAAGGAUUAACCCGCUCUUGAUACCAUAUUGAAGAUUAAAGGGUGGAUGUAGUAGAGAUUUGGGAUUGUGGAAGAAGAGGAGACUCAGCCAUGAAAAGGAAGAUGGGGAAAAGUUCUGGAUCGAUCUGUCUCUCGAUCUUUCUCUGUCUCUAUUUAUUUACUCUUGGUAUUUUACACCUUAGUCCUUGUAUUACAUCUAUUUUUCAAAUACACACACCAACAACUAUUCGUAAUGUUUGAGGCCUAUUUAUUGGGCUACGCAAAGUUUGUUCCUUCUUCAUUGUAAUGAACCUUUCCAGCCCUGAUGACUUGGCACAAGUUGUCAGUGUAAUGCAAAGUUUGUUCCUUCUUCACUGUAAUGAUGGAAAAAUGGCCCAUGGAGAGGCCCAUUUAAUGCAAU
rnacentral:lncRNA from 1 species